UGGAAUGUCGUUCAGUGGUAGGACACUUACUUAAGAUGUGUGAAGUCCUGGGUUUGAUUCCCAGCACUGCAA
rnacentral:tRNA from 1 species